rnacentral:misc_RNA from 1 species
UUCUGCCAGGGAUAGAAGUGGAAAGCCCGUAAAGAAGAAAACCGUAAAAAAUAAGGAUUAGGAAAGCGACCAGCGGAAGCUUUGCUAAGACUAUAUUUUUUUGGUUGACGACUGCGGACUUGCAACGGAUAGCCCGUUUAGGC